rnacentral:sRNA from 1 species
GGCUCUACUACCGAAAAAAGAAGAAAAGCACCCAGAGAUAUUUGUGAACUUCAUGGAGCCCUGUUAUGGCAGCUGCACGGAGAGACAGCAUCAUUACUACCUCAGUUACAUUGAGGAAUGAUUAAUUGGGAAUCUUGGCUACUGGAGGAUUCUAGUCGAGCUGAAUUGCCUGUGACAGACAAGAGUGAU